rnacentral:rRNA from 1 species
ACGGCUAAAUACGUGCCAGCAGCCGCGGUAAUACGUAUGUCCCGAGCGUUAUCCGGAUUUAUUGGGCGUAAAGCGAGCGCAGACGGUUUAUUAAGUYUGAUGUGAAAGCCCGGAGCUCAACUCCGGAAUGGCAUUGGAAACUGGUUAACUUGAGUGCAGUAGAGGUAAGUGGAACUCCAUGUGUAGCGGUGGAAUGCGUAGAUAUAUGGAAGAACACCAGUGGCGAAGGCGGCUUACUGGACUGCAACUGACGUUGAGGCUCGAAAGUGUGGGUAGCAAACAGGAUUAGAUACCCUGGUAGUCCACACCGUAAACGAUGAACACUAGGUGUUAGGAGGUUUCCGCCUCUUAGUGCCGAAGCUAACGCAUUAAGUGUUCCGCCUGGGGAGUACGACCGCAAGGUUGAAACUCAAAGGAAUUGACGGGGACCCGCACAAGCGGUGGAGCAUGUGGUUUAAUUCGAAGCAACGCGAAGAACCUUACCAGGUCUUGACAUCCUUUGAAGCUUUUAGAGAUAGAAGUGUUCUCUUCGGAGACAAAGUGACAGGUGGUGCAUGGUCGUCGUCAGCUCGUGUCGUGAGAUGUUGGGUUAAGUCCCGCAACGAGCGCAACCCUUAUUGUUAGUUGCCAGCAUUCAGAUGGGCACUCUAGCGAGACUGCCGGUGACAAACCGGAGGAAGGCGGGGACGACGUCAGAUCAUCAUGCCCCUUAUGACCUGGGCUACACACGUGCUACAAUGGCGUAUACAACGAGUUGCCAACCCGCGAGGGUGAGCUAAUCUCUUAAAGUACGUCUCAGUUCGGAUUGUAGUCUGCAACUCGACUACAUGAAGUCGGAAUCGCUAGUAAUCGCGGAUCAGCACGCCGCGGUGAAUACGUUCCCGGGUCUUGUACACACCGCCCGUCACACCAUGGGAGUUUGUAAUGCCCAAAGCCGGUGCCUAACCU